ACUGAACGCUGGCGGCAUGCCUAACACAUGCAAGUCGAGCGUCCAUUCGAGCCCCUUGCUCUUCUCUAGUAGGCGGCGGACGGGUCAUUAACACGAGGAUAACCCAACUAUAAGACUAGCACAACUUCCGCAAGCCGAAGCUAAUACUGGAUCAGAUAUUGAACGGCAGGGUUCUGUAGUCAUAGCCCCUUUUGAGGUCCCUUAUCCAUGGAUCCGCGCCGCAUUCGCUAGUUGGUAAGGUAGCGGCAUACAAAGGCAAUGAUGCGUAGCCGACGUGGAAGGGGGCUCGGCCACACUGGAACUGAGACACGGCCCAGACUCCUACGGGAGGCAGCAGUAGGGAAUCUUGCGCAAUGGGCGAAAGCUUGACGCAGCAACGCCGCGUGCGGGAUGAAGGUCUUCGGAUGGUAAAACACUCUUAGCGGGGACGAACAAGUGUGUCCGUACAUAUGCCCAUGUUGACGGUACCCAGUCAAAAAGCCACGGAUAACUACGUG
rnacentral:rRNA from 1 species